AUGACUCUCGGCAACGGAUAUCUCGGCUCUCGCAUCGAUGAAGAACGUAGCGAAAUGCGAUACCUGGUGUGAAUUGCAGAAUCCCGCGAACCAUUGAGUCUUUGAACGCAAGUUGCGCCCGAGGCCAUUCGGCCGAGGGCACGCCUGCCUGGGCGUCACGC
rnacentral:rRNA from 1 species